GUCGAUGCGGCGAGGGGAUCCGUGCGGUGCUCGGCGAGCGUCGCGGCGCGCGGACGCUGUCACCCCCAGGCACUUUCGUGCAAGCUACCCCCCGAUGAGCGGGGGGUUCGGUCGAUUCGUCGCGGAUAUUAAACGCCGCCACAUCUAUCGUGUGGCCGCUGUUUACGCCGUCGUUGCGUGGGUAUUGAUCCAGCUCAUCGGCAAUCUGACCCCGAUGCUGCGGCUGACGGAAUGGGCGGGGUCGUUCGUCCUGGUGCUGCUGCUCGUCGCCUUCCCGAUCGUGCUGAUCUUCGCGUGGAUCCACGGCCUACCGUCGGCCGAAGCGGCUGCCACGCCCUCUGCGACGAGCAAGCUCGAUUGGGUCCUCGCGGGCGGACUCGUGCUCGUGGUCGCGGGUCUCGUCGCGCAGCUCGUGGGCGGGUCACUGGGCGACGCGGAUGCUGCGCCAUCGGCGGUGCCGGGCGCUGUCGCCUCCGGGAACGGAAUCGCAAUCGCCGUCUUGCCGCUCGCCAAUCUAUCCGGCGACGAGGCCCAGGAAUUCUUCUCCGACGGCAUGACCGACGAGAUCACGUCGGCGCUCGCGAAGGUGCCGAACCUACGCGUCGUCGGCCGCUCGUCGGCUUUUCAGUUCAAGGACCAGAGCAAGGACCUACGCGCCAUCGGCGAAGCGCUCAGCGCGACCUAUCUCAUCGACGGCUCCGUGCGCCGCUCGGGCAACCGCGUGCGCGUAACGGCGCAACUCGUCAAGGCCGAUGACGGGAUCAACCUCUGGACGGACAGUUACGACCGCGAGCUCACCGACGUGUUCGCGAUCGAAGAAGACAUCGCGCAGGCCAUCGCGGGUGCACUGCGCGCGCCGCUCGGCUUGGCAGACGGCGAGCGUCUCGUUUCGAACCGCACGACGGACGUGGAUUCUUAUCAGGACUACUUGCGCGGCCGAUCCCUCGUGCGGGGCCGGAUCGUCGACGAAGCGAUCGCCACCCUCGAAAGCGCCGUCGCGCGCGACCCGAACUUCGCACCGGCCUGGGCCAUGCUGUCGCAGGCUUAUCGCUCCCUGCUCGACUAUAACGGUCUCGCGCGUCGCAC
rnacentral:misc_RNA from 1 species